rnacentral:lncRNA from 1 species
UGAAACUAGUUAUCAAAGGUACCAGGAUUAUAAUUUAGUACGCCAGACGCGCGUUUCGUCUACAUCAGACUCAUCAGUGACGCUCAUGUCAAAAUAUUUAUAAAGCCAAACAAGAACAAAGUUGAAGAGCAUUGAGGAUCCAAAAUUCCAAAAAGUGGUGCCAAAUACGGCCAAGGUAAUCUAUGCCUGGGAUAAGAAAAUCCUUAGUUUUUCGUAAAAUUCAAAGUUUUGUUAACAGGAAAUUUAUAAAAAUGACCACAUUAUUGAUAUU